rnacentral:rRNA from 1 species
AACGCGAAGAACCUUACCUGGGUUUGACAUGCACAGGACGCCGGUAGAGAUAUCGGUUCCCUUGUGGCCUGUGUGCAGGUGGUGCAUGGCUGUCGUCAGCUCGUGUCGUGAGAUGUUGGGUUAAGUCCCGCAACGAGCGCAACCCUUGUCUCAUGUUGCCAGCGCGUUAUGGCGGGGACUCGUGAGAGACUGCCGGGGUCAACUCGGAGGAAGGUGGGGAUGACGUCAAGUCAUCAUGCCCCUUAUGUCCAGGGCUUCACACAUGCUACAAUGGCCGGUACAAAGGGCUGCGAUGCCGUGAGGCUUAGCGAAUCCUUGAAAGCCGGUCUCAGUUCGGAUCGGGGUCUGCAACUCGACCCCGUGAAGUCGGAGUCGCUAGUAAUCGCAGAUCAGCACG